CAGCCGCCGCGGGAAUACAGAGGGUGCGAGCGUUAAUCGGAUUUACUGGGCGUAAAGCGUGCGUAGGCGGCUUCUUAAGUCGGAUGUGAAAUACCUGAGCUUAACUUAGGAAUUGCAUUCGAUACUGGGAAGCUAGAGUAUGGGAGAGGAUGGUAGAAUUCCAGGUGUAGCGGUGAAAUGCGUAGAGAUCUGGAGGAAUACCGAUGGCGAAGGCAGCCAUUUGGCCUAAUACUGACGCUGAGGUACGAAAGCAUGGGGAGCAAACAGGAUUAGAUACCCCUGUAGUCCCUGUCUUUAUACA
rnacentral:rRNA from 1 species